rnacentral:rRNA from 1 species
UGUCCGGAAUAUGGGGCGUAAAGAAGCUCGUAGGCGGUUUGUCGCGUCUGCUGUGAAAUCUGGGGGCUCAACCCCCAGCCUGCAGUGGGUACGGGCAGACUAGAGUGCGGUAGGGGAGAUUGGAAUUCCUGGUGUAGCGGUGGAAUGCGCAGAUAUCAGGAGGAACACCGAUGGCGAAGGCAGAUCUCUGGGCCGUAACUGACGCUGAGGAGCGAAAGCAUGGGGAGCGAACAGGAUUAGAUACCCUGGUAGUCCAUGCCGUAAACGUUGGGAACUAGAUGUGGGGGCCAUUCCACGGUCUCCGUGUCGCAGCUAACGCAUUAAGUUCCCCGCCUGGGGAGUACGGCCGCAAGGCUAAAACUCAAAGGAAUUGACGGGGGCCCGCACAAGCGGCGGAGCAUGCGGAUUAAUUCGAUGCAACGCGAAGAACCUUACCAAGGCUUGACAUAUACCGGAAACGUCCAGAGAUGGUCGCCCCGCAAGGUCGGUAUACAGGUGGUGCAUGGUUGU